UACGGGGGGGGCAAGCGUUGUUCGGAAUUACUGGGCGUAAAGGGCUCGUAGGUGGUCAACUAAGUCGGACGUGAAAUCCCUCGGCUUAACCGGGGAACUGCGUCCGAUACUGGAUGACUUGAGUUCGGGAGAGGGAUGCGGAAUUCCAGGUGUAGCGGUGAAAUGCGUAGAUAUUGGGAAGAACACCGGUGGCGAAGGCGGCUCACUGGCUCGUUUCUGACGCUCAGGCGCGACAGCGUGGGGAGCAAACAGG
rnacentral:rRNA from 1 species